CGAGCGAACGGACGAGAAGCUUGCUUCUCUGAUGUUAGCGGCGGACGGGUGAGUAACACGUGGAUAACCUACCUAUAAGACUGGGAUAACUUCGGGAAACCGGAGCUAAUACCGGAUAAUAUCUUGAACCGCAUGGUUCAAAAGUGAAAGACGGUCUUGCUGUCACUUAUAGAUGGAUCCGCGCUGCAUUAGCUAGUUGGUAAGGUAACGGCUUACCAAGGCAACGAUGCAUAGCCGACCUGAGAGGGUGAUCGGCCACACUGGAACUGAGACACGGUCCAGACUCCUACGGGAGGCAGCAGUAGGGAAUCUUCCGUAAUGGGCGAAAGCCUGACGGAGCAACGCCGCGUGAGUGAUGAAGGUCUUCGGAUCGUAAAACUCUGUUAUUAGGGAAGAACAUAUGUGUAAGUAACUGUGCACAUCUUGACGGUACCUAAUCAGAAAGCCACGGCUAACUACGUGCCAGCAGCCGCGGUAAUACGUAGGUGGCAAGCGUUAUCCGGAAUUAUUGGGCGUAAAGCGCGCGUAGGCGGUUUUUUAAGUCUGAUGUGAAAGCCCACGGCUCAACCGUGGAGGGUCAUUGGAAACUGGAAAGCUUGAGUGCAGAAGAGGAAAGUGGAAUUCCAUGUGUAGCGGUGAAAUGCGCAGAGAUAUGGAGGAACACCAGUGGCGAAGGCGACUUUCUGGUCUGUAACUGACGCUGAUGUGCGAAAGCGUGGGGAUCAAACAGGAUUA
rnacentral:rRNA from 1 species